GGGGCCGUAGCUCAAGAGCAGAGCGCCGGUGCGACAUGCCGGCGAUGGAGGUGCAAGUCCUCCCGGCCUCA
rnacentral:tRNA from 1 species